UUUUACUUGAUGACUUUGAGGGUUGACCAGUAUAUUUUGAGGCUUAAUAUCACGAUGGCACACCCCUAGAGCACCAUGAAUGUAAGCAAGACCACGACAAAUCUGGUAUGUAUAUAGUUGGAUGUAAAUGAGAGGCAUAUGCUGUUUAUUUCCAUGAUAAUGCUUUACCAUGCGAUAAAUAGUCUCCGGGACAUAUUCAAGUACAAGGUUUAGGUACAACUCAUCGUUGUCGGUUGUCGAAAAGAA
rnacentral:misc_RNA from 1 species